AGGAGGAACAGCCCCAGUGGCGGGGCAGCUCUGGAGCCCUGGAGUCAGCCCCCGCAGUAGCUCCAGAGCUCUCCGUCUGCAGGGCCUGGAGGCUCCGGGCGGGG
rnacentral:pre_miRNA from 1 species